ncrna:unclassified sequences chrB RNA
CCACAGGGGAAAGCGAUCUCCCCUCAAGGCGACAUGCCCAAGAAUCGCGUCCCAUUAACAUUCAAGAGGGCGCAAGCAUG